rnacentral:snRNA from 1 species
AUCGCUUCUCGGCCUUUUGGCUAAGAUCAAGUGUAGUAUCUGUUCUUAUCAGUUUAAUAUCUGAUACACCCCCUAUCUGGGGGCCAUAUAUUAAAUGGAUUUUUAGAUCCGGGAGAUGGAAGAAGAGCUUGCUCUGUCCACUCCACGCAUUGACCUGGUAUUGCAGUACCUCCAGGACCGUGCACUAAUU